AGUGAACGCUGGCGGUAGGCCUAACACAUGCAAGUCGAACGGCAGCACAGUAAGAGCUUGCUCUUACGGGUGGCGAGUGGCGGACGGGUGAGGAAUACAUCGGAAUCUACUUUUUCGUGGGGGAUAACGUAGGGAAACUUACGCUAAUACCGCAUACGACCUACGGGUGAAAGCAGGGGAUCUUCGGACCUUUCGCGAUUGAAUGAGCCGAUGUCGGAUUAGCUAGUUGGCGGGGUAAAGGCCCACCAAGGCGACGAUCCGUAGCUGGUCUGAGAGGAUGAUCAGACACACUGGAACUGAGACACGGUCCAGACUCCUACGGGAGGCAGCAGUGGGGAAUAUUGGACAAUGGGCGCAAGCCUGAUCCAGCAAUACCGCGUGGGUGAAGAAGGCCUUCGGGUUGUAAAGCCCUUUUGUUGGGAAAGAAAAGCAGCAGGUUAAUACCCCGCUGUUCUGACGGUACCCAAAGAAUAAGCACCGGCUAACUUCGUG
rnacentral:rRNA from 1 species